rnacentral:snRNA from 1 species
GUGCUUGCUUUGGUAGCACAUAUACUAAGUCGGAACAAUACAGAGAAGAUUAGCAAGACCCCUGCACAAGGA